rnacentral:rRNA from 1 species
GAUGAACGCUGGCGGCGUGCCUAAUACAUGCAAGUCGAGCGGACUGACGAGGAGCUUGCUCCUCUGACGUUAGCGGCGGACGGGUGAGUAACACGUGGAUAACCUACCUAUAAGACUGGGAUAACUUCGGGAAACCGUAGCUAAUACCGGAUAAUAUUUUGAACCGCAUGGUUCAAAAGUGAAAGACGGUCUUGCUGAUACCUACAGAUGGAUCCGCGCUGCAUUAGCUAGUUGGUAAGGUAACGGCCUACCAAGGCAACCAUGCAUUAGCCACCUGAGGGGGUGAUGGCCCACACUGGAAGUGAGACGGCGUCCACACCCCUGCGGGAGGGAACAGUAGGGAAUCUUCCGAUAGAGGAGAAGGCGUGACGGAGAAGCGGCGCGUGAGUGAUGAAGUUCUGCGUAGCGUAAAACUCUGUUUAUAGGGAAGAACAUAUGUGUAAGUAACUGUGGACAUCUUGACGGUACCUAAUCAGAAAGCCACGGCUAACUACGUG